UGUUUUCUUCAGCUGCCAUCGAUCAGCUUACCAAAUAUCUUGCUUGUGAAUGGGCAAAAGACAAUAUAAGGAGCAACAGUGUUGCACCUUGGUAUACCCUAACAUCACUUGAGGAACCUGUAAUUCUCUUUCAACUUGUUUUGUUUCCUGUUCCAAGGACUAGUCAUUUCCUUGUUAUGAAGAUUGGUUAAUUAUGUUGACGGAGUAAAAUUGAGUUGAAUGAGAAUUGAGAAGUUAACUGAUCAGUCAUUAUUAAAUUCUAUGCAGAUUUUGUUGGUCCUGUCACCACCUUCAUCUCUCUAGUCUUCAUACAAUGUUCUAAAAUAUCAAUGCAUAAUAUGUGCUUUCAAGUUCUUAAAUUCAUGCUCCUUUUAAGUUUUAAGGAUUACUAUUCAGCAUUUUAGGAGUAUUCUGAUAAAAAAGAGUGUCUGAAUAUCAAUCUUUUAGAUUAUUGAAUUGGGAAAUCUAAUUAGCCUGCAUAUUGGGAUGCCUCAUUGAGUUGGAUACCUAUAGACCCAACCCAAGACAGUUGUUGGGUUGAUAUUAGGAAUUGAUGAGGGCCCAAUGCAAUCAUCAUGGCGCAAGUGUGCAUGUUGGAGAUCAUACAUUAACUAGAGAUAUGACCAAAAUAGUGUAUAUAAGCGGGGAACAAUUCUCAUCUCUUGAGCUAGAUUUUGGAGUUGAGUCAGGCUUAAACCCAAAUUUUAACAUAGUAUUAGAGUCUAUCCUAACACUUGUUAUUAGAUCUAUCAAACCACCUGUAAUGUCAAGUCCUGGUGUUAAAUUAGGCCCAAAUUCUAAGAGUACAGUGUGUAUUUGUGUAUGCUGGUUUUUUGCUAAUAAUUCAUAGCCUUGCCCUUACCUUUUUUUAAGUGCAUAUGAAUUAUACUUGUACAUAUUAUGCAUGUUAGCAUGAUUAUCAGUAUAACUAAUCUUCAAAUGACAACAUUAUCAUCUUAACUUGGGAGUGCUAAUUGUACCUUUUUUCUAACAGUUGCUUGCAAACAAACAGCUUGUUAAUGAGAUAACAUCUCAAACGCCGAUAAAGCGGAUGGCAGAAACGCAUGAAGUUUCAUCCUUGGUGACUUUCCUUUGUCUGCCAGCAGCAUCCUACAUCACUGGAC
rnacentral:lncRNA from 1 species